GACGAACGCUGGCGGCGUGCCUAAUACAUGCAAGUCGAGCGGACGAAUCGAAAGCUUGCUUUUGAUUCGUUAGCGGCGGACGGGUGAGUAACACGUGGGCAACCUGCCCUGUAGACGGGGAUAACACCGAGAAAUCGGUGCUAAUACCGGAUAACACGAAAUGUCGCAUGACGUUUCGUUGAAAGACGGCGCAAGCUGUCGCUACAGGAUGGUCCCGCGGCGCAUUAGCUAGUUGGUGAGGUAACGGCUCACCAAGGCGACGAUGCGUAGCCGACCUGAGAGGGUGAUCGGCCACACUGGAACUGAGACACGGCCCAGACUCCUACGGGAGGCAGCAGUAGGGAAUCUUCCGCAAUGGACGAAAGUCUGACGGAGCAACGCCGCGUGAGCGAAGAAGGCCUUCGGGUCGUAAAGCUCUGUUGUUAGGGAAAAACAAGUAACGCAGUAACUGGCGUUACCGUGACGGUACCUAACGAGAAAGCCACGGCUAACUACGUG
rnacentral:rRNA from 1 species